rnacentral:rRNA from 1 species
UGAGUGGCGGACGGGUGAGUAACGCGUGGGCAACCUGGCCUGUACAGGGGGAUAACACUUAGAAAUAGGUGCUAAUACCGCAUAACGGGGGGAGCCGCAUGGCACCCCCCUGAAAACUCCGGUGGUACAGGAUGGGCCCGCGUCUGAUUAGCUGGUUGGCAGGGUAACGGCCUACCAAGGCGACGAUCAGUAGCCGGCCUGAGAGGGCGGACGGCCACACUGGGACUGAGACACGGCCCAGACUCCUACGGAAGGCAGCAG